rnacentral:pre_miRNA from 1 species
UAAAUACUCUAUUCGUCAGGAGUUAUUUGUCAUACAAAUGGAUAAAAUGGAUGUAUCUAGAACUAAAAUACAUCUAGAUACAUCCAUUCUUAUGACAAGUAUUUUCGGACCAUGGGAGUAUUAG